GACUAUCCCAUUUCCGUUCGCAACGACCGUGUAGCGUGUGACAGCGUGGCGAGAAUUCCGUCGUCAUCGAAAGCAAGUGAUGGUCGAGUGGUCUAGCGGGCUUGAAGUGGGCAUUCAUAUAUGGUGCAUUUCUUCAAUAUUUCCUCACUUCAGGCACUUGUAAUGCUUAAGAGUUAAUUGCAACCCAUGUACUUUAUGAAAACAUUUAAAUACAGUGUGCAUUAUAUAGGAUACUCUUUAAUUUACGUCAAAUAAUGCAACGGUGUCUCUUUUCCAUUCUCAAUGACUGUGUAUUGUGUGACGGUGUGGCGAAAAUUCCAUCCUCAUCGAAAGCAAUUUAUUUUUUAAAAACUUGCCUAAUUGGUCGAGCUAUCUAGCGCGCUGGUCAGACGCUGACAGGAGAUCGUCAGUUCAACCACGGACGGAAGUGGGUAUCCAAGUGUUGUAAAUUCCUCUGUGUAUUAUAUAUAAACAGGGUAUAUACCUGUUUCCUGAUUUUCUACGGAUAAUACGGAAAACAUUCACCAUAAUUACGGUCGCAGAUUGCCCAACCACUGAAUGCACAACAACUGUAUGUCAGCCUCUAGUACACCUCUAAUGACAUGAGGCCAGAUCCAGUCAGCCUCUAGUACUCCUCUAAUGACAUGAGGCCAGAUCCAGUCAGCCUCUAGUACUCCUCUAAUGACAUGAGGACAGAUCCAGUCAGCCUCUAGUACACUCUAAUGACAUGAGGCCAGAUCCAGUCAGCCUCUAGUACACCUCUAAUGAUAUGAGGCCAGAUCCAGUCAGCCUCUAGUACUCCUCUAAUGACAUGAGGCCAGAUCCAGAACAUGGGUACUUGUUAAGCAGUGUCUUUCACAUCCAUGAAUUUGAUUUAUAUCUGAUCACUUCAACGUAAUAAAGAACAUAACCACA